rnacentral:rRNA from 1 species
GACGAACGCUGGCGGCGUGCUUAACACAUGCAAGUCGAACGGAAAGGCCCUGCUUGCAGGGUACUCGAGUGGCGAACGGGUGAGUAACACGUGGGUGAUCUGCCCUGCACUUCGGGAUAAGCCUGGGAAACUGGGUCUAAUACCGGAUAGGAGCCAUUUUUAGUGGGAUGGUUGGAAAGUUUUUUCGGUGUAGGAUGAGCUCGCGGCCUAUCAGCCUGUUGGUGGGGUAAUGGCCUACCAAGGCGGCGACGGGUAGCCGGCCUGAGAGGGUGGACGGCCACAUUGGGACUGAGAGACGGCCCAGACUCCUACGGGAGGCAGCAGUGGGGAAUAUUGCACAAUGGGCGCAAGCCUGAUGCAGCGACGCCGCGUGGGGGAUGACGGCCUUCGGGUUGUAAACUCCUUUCGCUAGGGACGAAGCUUUUUGUGACGGUACCUAGAUAAGAAGCACCGGCUAACUACGUG